CAUGUAGGCGGUUGUUUAAGUCUGAUGUGAAAGCCCUGGGCUCAACCCAGUAAGUGCAUUGGAUACUGGAUAACUUGAGUACGGGAGAGGAAAGUGGAAUUUCGAGUGUAGGGGUGAAAUCCGUAGAUAUUCGAAGGAACACCAGUGGCGAAGGCGGCUUUCUGGACCGAUACUGACGCUGAGAUGCGAAAGCGUGGGGAGCAAACAGGAUUAGAUACCCUGGUAGUCC
rnacentral:rRNA from 1 species